rnacentral:rRNA from 1 species
AUGCAGGCCCCGAAGCGAGGCGGCAAGGCGCUGGUGCCAGCGAAGAAGAAGGUGGUGGACAAGGUGGUGAACCCUCUGUUUGCGAAGAGGCCGAAGCAGUUCGCCAUCGGUGGCGCCCUGCCGCCCAAGAAGGACCUCCACCGGUUCGUCAAGUGGCCCAAGGUCAUGCGCAUCCAGCGCUAG